GACUCCUGGCUGCAUCCUUCCGGGAUAAGCCUUCUUGUUAAUCGUUUGCUUAAAAGUUACAGACAUCAAAGCGCCAAAAGUAACAGUUUUCAUCGGUGAUGUCGCGACCAGAAAGGGACGGGCGCAUUUGUUUUGGCUUAAUGAUGGCAAUAUCGUUGUUGCGCAACCAGGAAACGGAUUUUAACAAGCCUCCCGGCAGAAGACGAGAUUUUUACCCGCGUUUAUGCGAAAAUUGGCGCUGCAGUAAUAUAGAGCGUUUUCCAAGGAGAAAAAAAUGACAACCGAUAUGAAAAUGGCGUUACUGACUACAGUUUGCGCAUUGGCAAUGAUUGUGGCUUUUGGCCUGACCGCGGCAAUGCAUUAAUCU
rnacentral:ncRNA from 1 species